rnacentral:rRNA from 1 species
GAUGAACGCUGGCGGCGUGCCUAAUACAUGCAAGUCGAGCGAACAGACGAGGAGCUUGCUCCUCUGACGUUAGCGGCGGACGGGUGAGUAACACGUGGAUAACCUACCUAUAAGACUGGGAUAACUUCGGGAAACCGGAGCUAAUACCGGAUAAUAUAUUGAACCGCAUGGUUCAAUAGUGAAAGACGGUUUUGCUGUCACUUAUAGAUGGAUCCGCGCCGCAUUAGCUAGUUGGUAAGGUAACGGCUUACCAAGGCAACGAUGCGUAGCCGACCUGAGAGGGUGAUAGGCCACACUGGAACUGAGACACGGUCCAGACUCCUACGGGAGGCAGCAGUAGGGAAUCUUCCGCAAUGGGCGAAAGCCUGACGGAGCAACGCCGAGUGAAUGAUGAAGGUCUUCGGAUCGUAAAACUCUGUUAUUAGGGAAGAACAAAUGUGUAAGUAACUAUGCACGUCUUGACGGUACCUAAUCAGAAAGCCACGGCUAACUACGUG